CAGAACGGGCGAUAACAUUCAUCACCAUGUUAUAUGAUUGUAGAACAUCAAAAGAUUGACGGUUCGGAUCAUGGGUCGAUCUCUACAUGUAGGCCCCAAUGGGCGACGGAUGCUGUAAAUUCUCAGUCGCGAUGCAUUCAAAACCAAAUCGGGAGGGCGAACGAGGCAUGUGGAUUUAAAGUCCCCCCUCUCUCCCUCUCAGGGACAGUUCUUGCAUUUCUUUCUCAGUUCCCGUCAUCAAACGCCACUCCUCCUCUCUCAACCGUCUAUUUCUCUCUGUUCUCCCACUUUUCCCUGUCAUCCAGACCGUUCCCUUCGGCCUUCGCCAACUCGAACGGGGAGGAGCCGUGGGGUCCGUCGCGUUUCACACGCUGGGGUUCGUCGGCCUAUAUCAGCGAAGCUACCGUCCGUGCACCUGCCGAACCGUCGGGCUAACAGGAAUGGAGAAGUCUCAUGAUUCAGAAUCCAAAAGCAUACCGCAGGAGCAUAUAUGGAAUAGGGUGCAGCAAGGAAAUAGUGCGGAGAGCAACAUUUGUGGAUUCCUUCUUCCAUGAAGAACAACAUUUCAGCUAUUGGGACCAAAGCCCAGGUAUUCAGUUUUCAUGGAAACUUUUGUCCGACCAAAACCCUUUUCCAACAAGUUGAAGACAUCCAAACCAUUGAAGCCUUUUAAUAUCAUGAACACCUUUAUCUUAAAAUGUAGAUUUUCUUGCAUCCAAACAAGUCCUUAGAUUAAGGUACAUAUAUGCUGAGCAACAUACACAUUGGAAACUCCUUGAGUUGAUGACCCAUUUGAGAUGAUUCGAGGACCUCAAGUUUCAAGAUAGACUCUAAUUGCAGAUGGAAGAAAGGAAUCAGAUGAAAGAGAAGCUGAUAAGGGAUGCUGAUGAAUUGCAAGGUGGGACAUACGACAAACCACUUCCAUGCUUUGGCUGUGGCAUAGGAUGGUUUGCAUUCCUACUAGGAUUCGUGU